GGCGGACGGGUGAGUAACGCGUAAGAACUUGCCCUUUAGACUGGGAUAACAGAGGGAAACUUCUGAUAAUACUGGAUAAGUUAGUAUAUCGCAUGAUAUACAAAUGAAAGCUACGGCACUAAAGGAGAGCUUUGCGUCCUAUUAGCUAGUUGGUAAGGUAAGAGCUUACCAAGGCGAUGAUAGGUAGCCGGCCUGAGAGGGUGGACGGCCACAAGGGGACUGAGAUACGGCCCUUACUCCUACGGGAGGCAGCAGCA
rnacentral:rRNA from 1 species